AAUUUGUGGUGUGGGCAAGCUCUCAUUAACUCCUUAUAUCUCUCUCACGCUUCAAAAAGUGAUUCAUCGUCCAUCUGCAUGAAACAUAUAAUUUGGUUCCUAAGUU